rnacentral:rRNA from 1 species
AUUGAACGCUGGCGGCAUGCUUUACACAUGCAAGUCGAACGGUAACAGGUUAAGCUGACGAGUGGCGAACGGGUGAGUAAUGCAUCGGAACGUGCCCGAUCGUGGGGGAUAACGUAGCGAAAGUUACGCUAAUACCGCAUACGAUCUGAGGAUGAAAGCGGGGGACCGUAAGGCCUCGCGCGAUCGGAGCGGCCGAUGUCAGAUUAGGUAGUUGGGGGGGUAAAGGCCCACCAAGCCGACGAUCUGUAGCUGGUCUGAGAGGACGACCAGCCAAGCUGGGAAUGAGACACGGCCCAGACUCCUACGGGAGGCAGCAGUGGGGAAUUUUGGACAAUGGGCGCAAGCCUGAUCCAGCAAUGCCGCGUGCAGGAAGAAGGCCUUCGGGUUGUAAACUGCUUUUGUACGGAGCGAAAAGGCUCUCUCUAAUACAGGGGGCUCAUGACGGUACCGUAAGAAUAAGCACCGGCUAACUACGUGCCAGCAGCCGCAGUAAUAC